CCUACGGGAGACAGCAGUGAGGAAUAUUGGUCAAUGGCCGAGAGGCUGAACCAGCCAAGUCGCGUGAGGGAAGACGGCCCUACGGGUUGUAAACCUCUUUUGUCGGGGAGCAAAGUGAACCACGUGUGGCUCAUUGAGAAUACCCGACGAAAAAGGAUCGGCUAACUGCGUGCCAGCAGCCGCGGUAAUACGGAGGAUGCGAGCGUUAUCCGGAUUUAUUGGGUUUAAAGGGUGCGCAGGUGGAGUGGUAAGUCGGCGGUCAAAUUUGAGGGCUCAACCCGCUACAUGCGUUUGGAACUGUGGUACUAGAGUACAGGAGAGGUAAGUGGAAUUCCUGGUGUAGCGGUGAAAUGCGUAGAUAUUAGGAGGAACACACGUGGCGAAGGCGGCUUACUGGACUGUAACUGACGCUGAGGCUCGAAAGCGUGGGGAGCAAACGGGAUUAGAUACCCCAGUAGUC
rnacentral:rRNA from 1 species